GAACUUUGGCUCCUUGCCUCUCUUGGGGAGAAGAAACCUCACGAACAACAACAGCAAGUUUUAUUCAAAUCUUGGAUCUUUCCUCCUGAGAAGCCUGUGAGGCCUCAAGAACAAAAUGUAAGCAUUGAUUAUCUGCUGCUGUGGAAUGCAACAGGUGCAUCUGUGACUGGCCCAUGUUGGAUGUUUCUAAUUAAUGGCCAAUCACAGUCAGCUGUCUUGGACAGAGAGCCGAGACACAAACCUUUGUUAUUCAUUUUUUCCUAUUCUAUUCUUAGCUAGCCUUCUGAUGAAAUCUUUUCUUCUAUUCUUUUAGUAUAGUUUUAAUGUAAUAUAUAUCAUAAAAUAAUAAAUCAAGCCUUGUGAAA